GUGUGAGUCUCGGCGACCCUAGGGUCCGGUGGCGUCGCCGCCCCGCAGGCCGGGCGCAUGGGCUUCUCCAGAGCUCUGCCUCUGAGCCGCCUCGGAGAAAACGGAGCACUGUGUGCGUCCCGCGGCGCCCGCAGCUUUCGGCGGGAUCUCAUGCUGUCACCCAGCCUGCAGUGCAGUGGUGUGAUCCUGGCCCACUGCAGCCUGGACCUCCUGGGCGAAAGGAUCCUCUGUCAGCCUCCAGAGUAGCUGGGACCCCGGGUGCUGGGAUUACAGGCGUGAGCCACCAUGACUUUCCUGAAGGCCAGCAUUCCCCGGCGUUUCCAGGGGCAUUAGGUGCGGGAGCUGCCUGUUCCAAGCGUCAAGUCCCUGCCCCUCAACUUGGCUUGAGGCUGUGUUCCUAGGAGACCUGUCCUCAUGCUGGAGCUUGGUUGGGCCCAGCCAGCACCUGCUGAACUAUGCUCUGAGACCAGCACCCACCUGCUCUCUGGAAGCACAGCCCCUGCCGGCCUGUGCCAACCUGGCACCAGCUGCCUGAGCACUGGACAUUCCCUCUUCUGUAAGGCAGGAAUGCAGCGGUGCUGUCUUAGCUCCCAGCCUCAAGGAUGUUCCCGCCUCCCCUCCCACAUCACCAGGACCACAGGUUGAGCUGCCAUGCCCAGCUCAGCGUUUGUAAUGGGAGAACUUGUCCCACGAGAGGGCUGGCUUUGCCACGGAAUCAUCACCGUUCAAAUGAGGAAAGUAUUUAUGCUUGGUGGUUACCCUUAUGUAGAGUCGGAAAACUUCAGAGAGUAUUAGGGAUAAACUGUAGGUUUAACCAGUUUGGGUGUCAGUAACUUAGUGGGGAAGAUUUUGUUGGUUGAAAGUGUCUGCAAAUGAGUCAGAACAGAUGGUUUGUAAAAACAGCGCCAAAUGUUUGCUGGUCGGCUGCGAAUUAAGAGCAUGAGGAGAUGCCACACGCCUGUCUGGAAUUUAAACAGCGGCAACUGGGCCCUCACGCACGCUGUGUAGGGCAGCAGUGGUGUUCUGGGCCAUUCACCUCAGAAAUAAAACCUUCACACACUCGCCAGCAGCUUCCCUUGCAAUAGGUCCAAACUCCAAAGGACACUGCCCCCACAGGUGGGUGGGAGCCCACCCCGUGCAGACACCCUGAGGAACCGGCACCCUGAAGAAGCCAGCAUCCUGUUGGGCAUGGUGGCUCACGCCUGGAAUCCCAGCACUUUGAGAGGCCGAGGCGGGCGGAUGACUUGAAGUCAGGAGUUUGAGACUAGCCUGGCCAACAUGGUAAAACCGUGUCUCCACUAAAAAUACAAAAAUUAGCCCGGCACAGUGACACACAUCUGUAAUCAUGGCUAUGAGGGAGGCUGGGGCAGGAGAAUCACUGGAACCCGGGAGGCGGAGGUUGGGGUGAACUAAGAUAAUGCCACCGCUCUCCAGCCUGGGUCUCAGAGCAAGACUCCAUCUCCAAAAGCAAAUAACCAAAAGGAGACCAUGUCCAUCUGUGGGUGGGAGAACUGGGACAACUCAAAGGGCCUUGGCUGAUGAGAAAAUCCCACCCUCAAAAGGGUACCUGCUCUGAUUCUACUAUUCCCUCUUCAAAAAAAUGUUUUAAGCAGGGACGGUGUUGCUGUGUGGCCCAGGCUGGUCUGGAACUCCUGGGCUCACGCUGCCCUCCUGCCUCCUGACGCACCGGGUUCUACAGCUCUUGGGCAAAACAGUGGCUGUGGAUCACAGACCACAGUGGUCAGUGGGGCAGGGCGGGUGCUGGGGCUGCGGGGCUGGGGGAGCCACACACAUGCGCCUGGAUGCCUCCUGGUCAUGGCCUUCCUGUUCCAGCCAUGCGGGGUCGGGGGGCUGGGGUCCCUGAGCUCCUCUGCCCUGACUGGGCUUAGUCUCUGGGCCUUUGACUUUGUCCUUUUUUUCUAGAACAUGGCUCUUUAGACAAAGAGUUCAAAACCCCUAGAAGAUGCUGGGCACGGCUCGCACCUGUAAUCCCAGCGCUUUGGGAGGCCAAGGCCAGCGGAUCACUUGAGAUCAGGAGUUCGAUACCAGCCUGGGCAACAUGGUGAAACCUGUCUCUACUACAAAUACAAAAAUCAGCCAGGCAUGGUGCUGGGUGCCUGUCAUCCCAGCUACUCAGGAGGCUGAGGCACGAGGAGGUUGCAGUGAGCCGAGAUCGCACCAUUGUACUCCAGCCUGGGCGACACAGCGAGAUUCUGUCUUAAAAAAAAAACAACCCCUAGAAGAUGACUUUUGAAAGAAGGAAAACUGAGGUGGAGCUCCCAGCUAUGCCAAACAGCAGCCUCUUCUGAGGGCUUCCGGGGACCUUAGCAGGCUCGGUUUUGGGGACCUCAGCGGGCCGUGGUUUGGGGGACCUCAGCGGGCUUAGUUUCUGUUGCAUCCCUGGAGCCGGCGUGCCAAGGCUCGCUGGCUUCCCGCUGCACUGAACCCAAUUAUCCACAGGCCGCUCCCAGAAGGGCUGCUCUUCCCAGCAGGCCCAGCCUCACCUCCCCAAUGAGGGGUGCCCUUCAGCUCACGGAGAAGGGGCUCAGCCCCCACACGGCUGCACCGGGACGUGCGUUUUGUGAGGCGGGCUCAGAACCACAGCUGGUGCCCCGUACCCCUGGCAGUGCUGUAUCCACCCCCAACCUACAGGGCUCAGAGGCCUCCUGGCCCCAAGGGAGGAGCAGGUGCAGCUGUUAGCACUUCCCAAAACAGGCAGGUGCUGGGGGAGGCUCAAUUAUCAGCACACAGUUAAUCCUCUAAUUAAAGGAGGCAAGUGGCGUUCACAGCCCCUCCUCUUCCCCAGCCAGGCUGCCGUGUGCUGAGGCCAAGUCUCCUGGUCUGUGCAGCUGUGGGCCCUGUGUUCUCUGCGCAGGACAGGGCUGUGGCGACCCCCAGCCCCUCCAGGUGCCCAUGCUGCACCCAUCCCGUUGCCCCCUGGGAUUCCCCCCUCUGGUUCACCUGCCCCUGCAACAGCCACAGCAGCCAGGGGGUGAGACCAGCCCAUGGUGGCACCCACUCUGUGGGUGGGGUGGGGCCUUCCUCGCUCUGGGCAGAGGUACCGGUGCCUCCCAGGCUGAGCCACCAGCCCCGAUGCCUGCCGGGCUCUCAGCUGAUGGCCGGUCCUGUUGGGUGGCGACUCUUCCCCAGAAACUGCCCUGCGCUCACUAACGAGCCUCCCAUGGCUGUGGGACAGGCUUGCUCUCACCGGGGCUGAGAUGACCACAGUCACAGCUGUCCCACCAUGGCCCCCACAGGACCCGGCUCUCCGCCGACCCUCAGUGAGGCUGGCACCGGGGGACGGAGACUCUCCGGUCAUGGGGCUCUGGGAGCACAGGGUGGGUCGUCGGCAGACUCGUCUCCCAGCGCCAGGUCCCCAGCCUGCCUGCAGGUGGCGCCCCUCCCCCGCGGGCCUGAACCAGGGCACUGCACACCGUCCAGUCGUUCACCUCCUGCCUGGGAUGGCAGGUGGGUGGCCGGGACCUUCCUCGGGGGAUCCCUGAGUGGGGGUUCUCAGGGCCUGGGGGAGUCCCCAGAGCUGAUGCGAGGCAGCACCCCCUCACCCGCUGGGCUGGGUGGGUGGCAGAGAGCCCUGCCCUCGGCCUAUGAGUCCAGUGCCCAGGGAAGCAAAGCUGCGGAACCUCAGACCCCUCCACGCUCCUCACACCCAGAUUGCACCCCACACCUCACGCAUCUUCCUGUGCCCACGCCGCCUCUCUCUGGUGCCAAAUUCUACCUCCUGAUUCAAGGGGUGCCCGUCGCCCCUCGGGGAGGUGGCACCUGCGUGGGGCAGACAUUCCAGCUUUGAACCCCAGAGGCCCACUUGGGGGCCCGUCCACCAGCCCCUCCGCCCCACGGGGGUCUCUAUGCACCAAAGUCCCACAUCCACUCAGGAAACUGCUGUGCUGUAGAGACGUCCAUCACUCAGACCUCGUCAUGCAAGGAUGUCGUGUAAAUAUGACACAGACAGUGAAAUAAGGGUGAAACACGGAGCUGUGUCUGUGAAAACAACUAGGAACGCUUUGAGGAGAGGGUGUGAGGACGCCUCCUGCACUUCCGUGGCUGCUGUUGGCCUUGGCUCUGUGGCGUCAGAGCACACAGCCUUCUCCGAGAUUGAGCUCCUGGGCCCGCGUGUGCCAGUGUGUGCCCGCAUGAAGCUAAAGCAAAAUGUAGAUCUUCUCAAAAUGGCUCCACUUCAUACUAUUAACCAGCCAGCCGCAGGUCCAGCAAACCCGCAGGUGGGGCGGAGCAGCUUCCAGGAAAACAGCAACAGCAAACCCACGGCCAUCUCCAUCCAGGACAGACCUCUGCAAGCCCCUCCCCUGUGGACAAAGGUGGAAGUGAGGGUGCUGCUCUCCAUAUGGGGCCAUAAUGGCUUUGUCCUGUAUGCUGUGCCUGGGAUGGCUUGCCCUGGGAUGCCAGCCCCAGUCAGGGAGAAGUCCAGGAGCAAGUACGGAAGGUCAUGCUCUCCUGCUGCACACACCUGUGCACACUCCUGCACAUACACAUGCAUAUGCCUGCACACACCUGUGUGUACCUGCACACUCAUGCACACAUCUACACACCUGUGCACAAUCCUGCACACACCUGCACAGCCCUGUACACACCUGCUUACACACCUGCUUACCCACCUGUGCACACUCCUGCACACACAUCUACACACCUGUGCACACUUCUGCACUACUGCACACACCACACACACCUGCACAGCCCUGUACACACCUGUAUACACACCUGUGCACACCUACACACACCUGUGUCCACAUGCACACAUCUACACACACCUGUGAACAACCCUGCAUUCCUGCACACUCCUGCACAUGCCUUCACACACACCUAUGCACACUUGUACACACUACACAAUCCUAUACACACCUACAGACACCUGCACACUCCUGCAGACACCUGCACAGCCCUGUACACACCUGCAUAUAUACCUGUGCACACUCCUGCACACACAUCUAUGCACAUGCCUAUGCACCCACACACCUGUGCACACUCCCACACCCACACCUGUGCACACACACCCACGCACCUGUGCACACUCACACACCCACAUGCCUGUGCACACAUCCACACACCUGUGCACACUCCUGCACGCAUGCCUGUGCACACUCACCCACACACCUGUGCACAUUCACACACCCACAUGCCUGUGCACAUACACCCACACGCCUGUGCACACUCACACACACACGCCCUGCGGUUGAACUCUGACAACCACCCCCCGUCCACAGCACAGUUGCACCUCCAGCUGUGUGCACAGCUCUGGCUUCCUGAGCCCCGGAAGCAGAUGUGAUAAACGUCCAUGUUUCA